AUGAAUUGACUGAAUGGGUUUUGGUCCAACCAGUGCAUGUUCAGUUGAUCAUUUAUGAAGUUCAGGUAACAGCUGUCUUUCUCUCCAAAAAAUGUUGUGUAUUUGUUGUGCUGGCCAUAAAAACUGCAGCCCUCAUAAAUGUUGUGUAUUUGUUGUGCUGGCCAUAAAAACUGCAGCCCUCAUAAAUGUUGUGUAUUUGUUGUGCUGGCCAUAAAAACUGCAGCCCUCAUAAAUGUUGUGUAUUUGUUGUGCUGGCCAUAAAAACUGCAGCCCUCAUAAAUGUUGUGUAUUUGUUGUGCUGGCCAUAAAAACUGCAGCCCUCAUAAAUGUUGUGUAUUUGUUGUGCUGGCCAUAAAAACUGCAGCCCUCAUAAAUGUUCAGUAAGAGUAGAAGAUGACUGAAGGUCAGGUUCUAGAGGUGUUGUGAUACAGACUAAAUGUUGUGUAUUUGUUGUGCUGGCCAUAAAAACUGCAGCCCUCAUAAAUGUUCAGUAAGAGUAGAAGAUGACUGAAGGUCAGGUUCUAGAGGUGUUGUGAUACAGACUUAAGGCCAGGUUCUAGAGGUGUUGUGAUACAGACUAAAUGUCAGGUUCUAGAGGUGUUGUGAUACAGACUAAAUGUCAGGUUCUAGAGGUGUUGUGAUACAGACUAAAUGUUGUGUAUUUGUUGUGCUGGCCAUAAAAACUGCAGCCCUCAUAAAUGUUCAGUAAGAGUAGAAGAUGACUGAAGGUCAGGUUCUAGAGGUGUUGUGAUACAGACUUAAGGCCAGGUUCUAGAGGUGUUGUGAUACAGACUAAAUGUCAGGUUCUAGAGGUGUUGUGAUACAGACUAAAUGUCAGGUUCUAGAGGUGUUGUGAUACAGACUAAAUGUCAGGUUCUAGAGGUGUUGUGAUACAGACUAAAUGUCAGGUUCUAGAGGUGUUGUGAUACAGACUAAAUGUCAGGUUCUAG